rnacentral:rRNA from 1 species
AUUGAACGCUGGCGGCAUGCCUUACACAUGCAAGUCGAACGGCAGCACGGGACCAAUCCUGGUGGCGAGUGGCGAACGGGUGAGUAAAGUAUCGGAACGUGCCCAGUCGUGGGGGAUAACGUAGCGAAAGUGACGCAAAUACCGAAUACGAUCUAUGGAUGAAAGCGGGGGAUCGCGAGACCUCGCGCGUAUGGAACGGCCGAUAGCAGAUUAGGUAGUUGGUGGGGUAAAGGCUCACCAAGCCGACGAUCUGUAGCUGGUCUGAGAGGACGACCAGCCACACUGGGACUGAGACACGGCCCAGACUCCUACGGGAGGCAGCAGUGGGGAAUUUUGGACAAUGGGCGAAAGCCUGAUCCAGCCAUGCCGCGUGCAGGAUGAAGGCCUUCGGGUUGUAAACUGCUUUUGUACGGAACGAAAAGGUUUGGGCUAAUAAGCUGAGCUCAUGACGGUACCGUAAGAAUAAGCACCGGCUAACUACGUGCCAGCAGCCGCAGUAA